CGGAGCUGGUGGGGUGCACCGCGGCAUUGUACGCCGCCAAUCCGGGGUCCAUGGACGGCUCGCUCAGCGCUGGGCAGUUCCGC
rnacentral:tRNA from 1 species